GCUAAACGCGAAGAACCUUACCAAGGCUUGACAUAUACGAGAACGGGCCAGAAAUGGUCAACUCUUUGGACACUCGUAAACAGGUGGUGCAUGGUUGUCGUCAGCUCGUGUCGUGAGAUGUUGGGUUAAGUCCCGCAACGAGCGCAACCCUCGUUCUAUGUUGCCAGCACGUAAUGGUGGGAACUCAUGGGAUACUGCCGGGGUCAACUCGGAGGAAGGUGGGGAUGACGUCAAAUCAUCAUGCCCCUUAUGUCUUGGGCUUCACGCAUGCUACAAUGGCCGGUACAAAGGGCUGCAAUACCGUAAGGUGGAGCGAAUCCCAAAAAGCCGGUCCCAGUUCGGAUUGAGGUCUGCAACUCGACCUCAUGAAGUCGGAGUCGCUAGUAAUCGCAGAUCAGCAACGCUGCGGUGAAUACGUUCCCGGG
rnacentral:rRNA from 1 species